rnacentral:rRNA from 1 species
GACGAACGCUGGCGGCGUGCCUAAUACAUGCAAGCUGAGCGCUGAAGGUUGGUACUUGUACCAACUGGAUGAGCAGCGAACGGGUGAGUAACGCGUGGGGAAUCUGCCUUUGAGCGGGGGACAACAUUUGGAAACGAAUGCUAAUACCGCAUAAAAACUUUAAACACAAGUUUUAAGUUUGAAAGAUGCAAUUGCAUCACUCAAAGAUGAUCCCGCGUUGUAUUAGCUAGUUUGUGAGGUAAAGGCUCACCAAGGCGAUGAUACAUAGCCGACCUGAGAGGGUGAUCGGCCACAUUGGGACUGAGACACGGCCCAAACUCCUACGGGAGGCAGCAGUAGGGAAUCUUCGGCAAUGGACGAAAGUCUGACCGAGCAACGCCGCGUGAGUGAAGAAGGUUUUCGGAUCGUAAAAUUCUGUUGGUAGAGAAGAACGUUGGUGAGAGUGGAAAGCUCAUCAAGUGACGGUAACUACCCAGAAAGGGACGGCUAACUACGUGCCAGCCGCCGCGGUAA